rnacentral:rRNA from 1 species
GGAUGCGAUCAUACCAGCACUAAAGCACCGGAUCCCAUCAGAACUCCGAAGUUUACUAGGAUGGGUGACCUCCUGGGAAGUCCUCGUGUUGCAUUCC